CAGGGGUGGAGAAGAGUGAAAGCUACGCUCCCAAAAACAGGCCAUUGCCAGCCAGGGAAGUUAAACCAGCACCACUGCUUUAUCUCUAGCCAGCUCUGCACCUGCUGUUCAUGGGAUGUGUGAACACCACCAUUCAGAGUGUGAAGGGAAAAGGCACUGCAAACCACAUGCCAAGAGUCAGCUUCGACUUUGUAACUACUGAGAAGAGCAACUCAAAGCUGCAGAAGGCCAUGGGAUGGGAGUGACUGGCAAGCUGCUUCCAGGAGAUCAGUGAGACUCA